rnacentral:lncRNA from 1 species
CGUAUUUUGUGUGCCUUUUCGCAACUUCUUAUAUGUGAGGUUAUUUUCAUAUUUAUUGCGUUGAGGCCUGGACUGAGUCGGGUGUGUCUAUUCUGUGUUGGUCUUUGCAUUAUGUAUUCGGGUUUUGUUAUCUGUAAUUAGUUAAUACUUCAGUUUCAUUAUGUAUAUCUUCUAUAUUCAUUUGAUAAAAUUUACUGUUUGCAAUAACAUUAAUUGUUCUAAAUAAUAAGGAUGUUCUUAUCACUUUAAAACAGAGCCGUAUUUGACACAACCCUUUUCAACUUUUGAUCUCCAGUGCCGUACAACUUUGUACUUUUUUUCAC